GACAGAGGGGGCAAGCGUUGCUCGGAAUCACUGGGCGUAAAGGGCGCGUAGGCGGGAUGGCAAGUCGGUCGUGAAAUCCUUCGGCUCAACCGAAGAACGUCGGCCGAUACUGCCGUUCUUGAGGGAUGCAGAGGAGAUUGGAAUUCCCGGUGUAGCGGUGAAAUGUGUAGAGAUCGGGAGGAACACCGGUGGCGAAGGCGGGUCUCUGGGCAUCUCCUGACGCUGAGGCGCGAAAGCGUGGGGGGCAAACGGG
rnacentral:rRNA from 1 species